GCCAGACUCCUACGGGAGGCAGCAGUGGGGAAUAUUGCACAAUGGGGGAAACCCUGAUGCAGCGACGCCGCGUGAGUGAAGAAGUAUUUCGGUACGUAAAGCUCUAUCAGCAGGGAAGAAAGAAAGUCCUUUGGACUUUGGACGGUACCUGACCAAGAAGCCCCGGCUAACUACGUGCCAGCAGCCGCGGUAAUACGUAGGGGGCAAGCGUUAUCCGGAUUUACUGGGUGUAAAGGGAGCGUAGACGGCAGCGCAAGUCUGGAGUGAAAUGCCGGGGCCCAACCCCGGACUGCUUUGGGAACUGUACGGCUGGAGUGCAGGAGAGGUAAGUGGAAUUCCUAGUGUAGCGGUGAAAUGCGUAGAUAUUAGGAGGAACACCAGUGGCGAAGGCGGCUUACUGGACUGUAACUGACGUUGAGGCUCGAAAGCGUGGGGAGCAAACAGGAUUAGAUACCCGCGUAC
rnacentral:rRNA from 1 species